AGAGUUUGAUCCUGGCUCAGAUUGAACGCUGGCGGAAUGCUUUACACAUGCAAGUCGAACGGCAGCACGGGGCAACCUGGUGGCGAGUGGCGAACGGGUGAGUAAUGUAUCGGAACGUGCCCAGUCGUGGGGGAUAACGUAGUGAAAAUUACGCUAAUACCGCAUACGAUCUAUGGAUGAAAGCGGGGGAUCGCAAGACCUCGCGCGAUUGGAGCGGCCGAUAUCAGAUUAGGUAGUUGGUGGGGUAAAGGCUCACCAAGCCAACGAUCUGUAGCUGGUCUGAGAGGACGACCAGCCACACUGGAACUGAGACACGGUCCAGACUCCUACGGGAGGCAGCAGUGGGGAAUUUUGGACAAUGGGCGAAAGCCUGAUCCAGCCAUUCCGCGUGCAGGAUGAAGGCCUUCGGGUUGUAAACUGCUUUUGUACGGAACGAAAAGGCUCUGGUUAAUACCUGGAGCACAUGACGGUACCGUAAGAAUAAGCACCGGCUAACUACGUGCCAGCAGCCGCGGUAAUACGUAGGGUGCAAGCGUUAAUCGGAAUUACUGGGCGUAAAGCGUGCGCAGGCGGUUAUGUAAGACAGAUGUGAAAUCCCCGGGCUCAACCUGGGAACUGCAUUUGUGACUGCAUAGCUAGAGUACGGCAGAGGGGGAUGGAAUUCCGCGUGUAGCAGUGAAAUGCGUAGAUAUGCGGAGGAACACCGAUGGCGAAGGCAAUCCCCUGGGCCUGUACUGACGCUCAUGCACGAAAGCGUGGGGAGCAAACAGGAUUAGAUACCCUGGUAGUCC
rnacentral:rRNA from 1 species